rnacentral:rRNA from 1 species
GAUGAACGCUGGCGGCGUGCCUAAUACAUGCAAGUCGAGCGAACAGACGAGGAGCUUGCUCCUCUGACGUUAGCGGCGGACGGGUGAGUAACACGUGGAUAACCUACCUAUAAGACUGGGAUAACUUCGGGAAACCGGAGCUAAUACCGGAUAAUAUAUUGAACCGCAUGGUUCAAUAGUGAAAAACGGUUUUGCUGUCACUUAUAGAUGGAUCCGCGCCGCAUUAGCUAGUUGGUAAGGUAACGGCUUACCAAGGCAACGAUGCGUAGCCGACCUGAGAGGGUGAUCGGCCACACUGGAACUGAGACACGGUCCAGACUCCUACGGGAGGCAGCAGUAGGGAAUCUUCCGCAAUGGGCGAAAGCCUGACGGAGCAGCGCCGCGUGAGUGAUGAAGGUCUUCGGAUCGUAAAACUCUGUUAUUAGGGAAGAACAAAUGUGUAAGUAACUAUGCACGUCUUGACGGUACCUAAUCAGAAAGCCACGGCUAACUACGUG